rnacentral:lncRNA from 1 species
CGCGUCCAGCCAUGGUCGGGCGCCGCAAGCCAGGGACCCCGAGGAGGCGACCCUCUAGUCCGGCGCCCGGACCCUCUCAGCCAGCCACGGACUCGCGUCGCCAGUCGAGGACUCCGACGAGGCGGCCCUCCAGUCCGGCGCCCGGACCCUCGCGACGGAGCUCCGGAGUAGGCCCUCAGGCACUACACAGAAGACGGAGAUUCCUGUGGCUUAAGGAAAUAAAGAACCUGCAAAAGAGCACAGACCUCUUGUUUAGGAAGAAGCCUUUCGGCCUCGUGGUAAGAGAAAUAUGUGGGAAAUUCAGCCGUGGUGUGGAUUUAUAUUGGCAAGCUCAGGCCUUGUUGGCCCUUCAAGAGGUAAGAAGGGGCAGGGAUGAGUGAAAGCAGAGAGGAAGACAUCCCAGAAUUCCACAGGACUGCUUAUGGCGUACCACAGGCUGUUCUGGCCUCCCGAAAAGAGCAGCUAGCAUGUUCGCCCAUGGACACGAAUGAGUGUUUGCAGACCAAAGGUCAACUUGGUUUGUGAAUUGCUCAACCACAUUACUGUUUGCGGGUUUCAGACCCAUGAGGUCUGCCAUGUUAUGAGGGGUAUUGAUAUUUUAUUCUUCCUGUACCAUGUGCAUCUUUUAUCCUGUGUCUUUGUACUUUUUAAAUAUAAGGGAGAAGUUUUUGAGU